CGCUGGCGGUAUGCUUUACACAUGCAAGUCGUACGAGAGUUUUUAACUCAAGUGGCGGACGGGUGAGUAACACGUAAGAAUUUGCCUUUAGGAGGGGGACAACAACUAGAAAUGGUUGCUAAUACCCCAUAUGCUUUCGAGUGAAAUGGAUUUUUCCGCCUAAAGAGAAGCUUGCGGCUGAUUAGCUUGUUGGUGAGGUAAUGGCUUACCAAGGCGACGAUCAGUAUCUGGUUUGAGAGGACGAUCAGACACACUGGAACUGAGACACGGUCCAGACUCCUACGGGAGGCAGCAGUGGGGAAUUUUCCGCAAUGGGCGAAAGCCUGACGGAGCAAUACCGCGUGAGGGAUGACGGCCUAUGGGUUGUAAACCUCUUUUUUCAGGGAGGAAUCAAAUGACGUGUACCUGAAGAAUAAGCAUCGGCUAACUCCGUGCCAGCAGCCGCGGUAAGACGGAGGAUGCAAGUGUUAUCCGGAAUCACUGGGCGUAAAGCGUCUGUAGGUGGUCCAAUAAGUCAACUGUUAAAUCUUGAGGCUCAACCUCAAAAUCGCAGUCGAAACUAUUAGACUAGAGUAUAGUAGGGGUAAAGGGAAUUUCCAGUGGAGCGGUGAAAUGCGUAGAGAUUGGAAAGAACACCGAUGGCGAAGGCACUUUACUGGGCUAUUACUAACACUGAGAGACGAAAGCUAGGGUAGCAAAUGGGAUUAGAUACCCCAGUAGUCCUAGCCGUAAACAAUGGAUACUAGAUGUUGAACAGAUCGACCUGUGCAGUAUCAAAGCUAACGCGUUAAGUAUCCCGCCCUGGGAAGUAU
rnacentral:rRNA from 1 species